rnacentral:rRNA from 1 species
GGGUUGUGAGGUUAAGCGACUAAGCGUACACGGUGGAUGCCCUGGCAGUCAGAGGCGAUGAAGGACGUGCUAAUCUGCGAUAAGCGUCGGUAAGGUGAUAUGAACCGUUAUAACCGGCGAUUUCCGAAUGGGGAAACCCAGUGUGUUUCGACACACUAUCAUUAACUGAAUCCAUAGGUUAAUGAGGCGAACCCGGGGGAACUGAAACAUCUAAGUACCCCGAGGAAAAGAAAUCAACCGAGAUUCCCCCAGUAGCGGCGAGCGAACGGGGAGGAGCCCAGAGCCUGAAUCAGUGUGUGUGUUAGUGGAAGCGUCUGGAAAGGCGUGCGAUACAGGGUGACAGCCCCGUACACAAAAAUGCACAUAUUGUGAGCUCGAUGAGUAGGGCGGGACACGUGGUAUCCUGUCUGAAUAUGGGGGGACCAUCCUCCAAGGCUAAAUACUCCUGACUGACCGAUAGUGAACCAGUACCGUGAGGGAAAGGCGAAAAGAACCCCGGCGAGGGGAGUGAAAAAGAACCUGAAACCGUGUACGUACAAGCAGUGGGAGCCUCUUAAUGGGGUGACUGCGUACCUUUUGUAUAAUGGGUCAGCGACUUAUAUUCUGUAGCAAGGUUAACCGAAUAGGGGAGCCGAAGGGAAACCGAGUCUUAACUGGGCGUUAAGUUGCAGGGUAUAGACCCGAAACCCGGUGAUCUAGCCAUGGGCAGGUUGAAGGUUGGGUAACACUAACUGGAGGACCGAACCGACUAAUGUUGAAAAAUUAGCGGAUGACUUGUGGCUGGGGGUGAAAGGCCAAUCAAACCGGGAGAUAGCUGGUUCUCCCCGAAAGCUAUUUAGGUAGCGCCUCGUGAAUUCAUCUCCGGGGGUAGAGCACUGUUUCGGCAAGGGGGUCAUCCCGACUUACCAACCCGAUGCAAACUGCGAAUACCGGAGAAUGUUAUCACGGGAGACACACGGCGGGUGCUAACGUCCGUCGUGAAGAGGGAAACAACCCAGACCGCCAGCUAAGGUCCCAAAGUCAUGGUUAAGUGGGAAACGAUGUGGGAAGGCCCAGACAGCCAGGAUGUUGGCUUAGAAGCAGCCAUCAUUUAAAGAAAGCGUAAUAGCUCACUGGUCGAGUCGGCCUGCGCGGAAGAUGUAACGGGGCUAAACCAUGCACCGAAGCUGCGGCAGCGACACUAUGUGUUGUUGGGUAGGGGAGCGUUCUGUAAGCCUGUGAAGGUGUGCUGUGAGGCAUGCUGGAGGUAUCAGAAGUGCGAAUGCUGACAUAAGUAACGAUAAAGCGGGUGAAAAGCCCGCUCGCCGGAAGACCAAGGGUUCCUGUCCAACGUUAAUCGGGGCAGGGUGAGUCGACCCCUAAGGCGAGGCCGAAAGGCGUAGUCGAUGGGAAACAGGUUAAUAUUCCUGUACUUGGUGUUACUGCGAAGGGGGGGGACGGAGAAGGCUAUGUUGGCCGGGCGACGGUUGUCCCGGUUUAAGCGUGUAGGCUGGUUUUCCAGGCAAAUCCGGAAAACCAAGGCUGAGGCGUGAUGACGAGGCACUACGGUGCUGAAGCGACAAAUGCCCUGCUUCCAGGAAAAGCCUCUAAGCAUCAGGUAACAUCAAAUCGUACCCCAAAUCGACACAGGUGGUCAGGUAGAGAAUACCAAGGCGCUUGAGAGAACUCGGGUGAAGGAACUAGGCAAAAUGGUGCCGUAACUUCGGGAGAAGGCACGCUGAUAUGUAGGUGAAGCGACUUGCUCGUGGAGCUGAAAUCAGUCGAAGAUACCAGCUGGCUGCAACUGUUUAUUAAAAACACAGCACUGUGCAAACACGAAAGUGGACGUAUACGGUGUGACGCCUGCCCGGUGCCGGAAGGUUAAUUGAUGGGGUUAGCGGUAACGCGAAGCUCUUGAUCGAAGCCCCGGUAAACGGCGGCCGUAACUAUAACGGUCCUAAGGUAGCGAAAUUCCUUGUCGGGUAAGUUCCGACCUGCACGAAUGGCGUAAUGAUGGCCAGGCUGUCUCCACCCGAGACUCAGUGAAAUUGAACUCGCUGUGAAGAUGCAGUGUACCCGCGGCAAGACGGAAAGACCCCGUGAACCUUUACUAUAGCUUGACACUGAACAUUGAGCCUUGAUGUGUAGGAUAGGUGGGAGGCUUUGAAGUGUGGACGCCAGUCUGCAUGGAGCCGACCUUGAAAUACCACCCUUUAAUGUUUGAUGUUCUAACGUUGGCCCGUAAUCCGGGUUGCGGACAGUGUCUGGUGGGUAGUUUGACUGGGGCGGUCUCCUCCUAAAGAGUAACGGAGGAGCACGAAGGUUGGCUAAUCCUGGUCGGACAUCAGGAGGUUAGUGCAAUGGCAUAAGCCAGCUUGACUGCGAGCGUGACGGCGCGAGCAGGUGCGAAAGCAGGUCAUAGUGAUCCGGUGGUUCUGAAUGGAAGGGCCAUCGCUCAACGGAUAAAAGGUACUCCGGGGAUAACAGGCUGAUACCGCCCAAGAGUUCAUAUCGACGGCGGUGUUUGGCACCUCGAUGUCGGCUCAUCACAUCCUGGGGCUGAAGUAGGUCCCAAGGGUAUGGCUGUUCGCCAUUUAAAGUGGUACGCGAGCUGGGUUUAGAACGUCGUGAGACAGUUCGGUCCCUAUCUGCCGUGGGCGCUGGAGAACUGAGGGGGGGCUGCUCCUAGUACGAGAGGACCGGAGUGGACGCAUCACUGGUGUUCGGGUUGUCAUGCCAAUGGCACUGCCCGGUAGCUAAAUGCGGAAGAGAUAAGUGCUGAAAGCAUCUAAGCACGAAACUUGCCCCGAGAUGAGUUCUCCCUGAGACUUAGAGUCUCCUGAAGGAACGUUGAAGACGACGACGUUGAUAGGCCGGGUGUGUAAGCGCAGCGAUGCGUUGAGCUAACCGGUACUAAUGAACCGUGAGGCUUAACCUUACAACGCCGAAG